rnacentral:rRNA from 1 species
GUGGGGAAUCUUGCGCAAUGGGCGAAAGCCUGACGCAGCCAUGCCGCGUGGAUGAUGAAGGUCUUAGGAUUGUAAAAUCCUUUCACCGGUGAAGAUAAUGACUGUAGCCGAAGAAGAAGCCCCGGCUAACUUCGUGCCAGCAGCCGCGGUAAUACGAAGGGGGCUAGCGUUGCUCGGAUUUACUGGGCGUAAAGGGCGCGUAGGCGGACAUUUAAGUCAGGGGUGAAAUACCGGGGCUCAACAUCGGAACUGCCUUUGAUACUGGGUGUCUUGAGUAUGAGAGAGGUGUGUGGAACUCCGAGUGUAGAGGUGAAAUUCGUAGAUAUUCGGAGGAACACCAGUGGCGAAGGCGGCUCACUGGCUCGAUACUGACGCUGAGGUGCGAAAGCGUGGGGAGCAAACAGGAUUAGAAACCCCGGUAGUCC